AUUGAGCCACACCUCCGCGAGCGAGCCUGCCGCUGCUCGCGCUACCACCGCAUCAAUCGAUCGAGCGCCGCCUGAAAUUCCUGGCUAGGCAGCUCCUCCAGCGAAGUCGUCGUCGACUGCCGUCGUUCUCCAUCUUUCUCAUCUCCUCCGGCGACCACAGCCCUUGCUACAGCCGCCCUCAACAAUUCUCCCUCUCUGCUCGAGCUCCAGCGCCUGAGCCCUAACUCCCCCAAAUCCAAUCGCCCUCACCCCUACCCUUAUCUCUCUCCGUCCGUGGCCGAACGGCAACGGCAGCGCCGCCGCGUCUCUGGCCUCCCUCUACUCUUUCAACCUCCAGCACCAACAACGGCUCUAGAUCCUCUCCACUCGAUCCAGAGGUAAGUUAAUGAAAUCCAGUUAGAUUCGUCCAAGUUCGUGUUUAGCCUUGAUUUGAAUUGGAUAUGAAUUCACUUGCUUCGUUUUUGUUGUCUUUCUUUCAAGGUUAUCUGGCCUCGACUUGAUGUGUUGGGAUGAUUGGAUCUGUUCUUGAGAUGUUGUGCUUGGGUU
rnacentral:lncRNA from 1 species